UACGAAGGGGGCUAGCGUUGUUCGGAAUUACUGGGCGUAAAGCGCACGUAGGCGGAUAUUUAAGUCAGGGGUGAAAUCCCAGAGCUCAACUCUGGAACUGCCUUUGAUACUGGGUAUCUUGAGUAUGGAAGAGGUAAGUGGAAUUGCGAGUGUAGAGGUGAAAUUCGUAGAUAUUCGGAAGAACACCAGUGGCGAAGGCGACUCACUGGACAUGUAUUGACGCUGAGGUGCGAAAGCGUGGGGAGCAAACAGG
rnacentral:rRNA from 1 species